rnacentral:lncRNA from 1 species
AGGAUUUACCAUAGACAGUGUUGGUCGGGUUGCAAACAGCCAUAUUGAAAGCAGAAUCACCAAUCAUCCUUUGAGAGUCAGUGAAGGCAACAUAAGAAGGUGUUAUUCUGUUCCCUUGAUCAUUCACUAUAAUCUCUACCUUAUCAUUCAUACACACUGCAACACAUGAAUAAGUUGUGCCAAGGUCAAUUCCUAUUGCCACUUUUUUACCAUUUUCAGACAUUUCAGAUCUCUUGCAAUAUUCACUCAGUUCAACCAAAUUUUGUGAAGGAAUAGAAAUACUAAAGAUGAGAAUAAACAGACACUCCAUUAAAUCCAUUUCAUAUAUCUCAUUUAGUUUGACUCAGUCGUGUUAGGGUGCUUGCCUAGUUGACUUAAUAUAGUCUCUCCGUCUCAAAAUAAAUGACCUAGUUGAUUACUGUCAUGUUUGUCAAUGUACGACUUUAGUCGUCAAUAUCUUAAAUUAUAUUUUAUUAAAAAUUAUAAAAAUUAUAUAUUUUAAAAAUAAUCAUCGAGACAAAUUAAACAAUAUCUCAUAUAGUAAUAUUUACAUUUAUAUAAUAGUAGAAAAAUAUGGUCAAAGUAGAUCAUAUAAAUAGUACAUAAAGUCAAAAAUAAGUUAUUUAUUUUGGGACGGAAUAUUUCAUACUCUUUUGGAUCAACUUGCAUGAUUAUAAUAUUAUAAUAUUAGUCCCAUCACUUUCAUAAACAGCUGGUUGAACACUAGGACCGUGUAUUCUAGUGUCGGGCAGGGGCAACCACGCAUUCUAAGUUUCGAUCAAAAUUAAAAGAUUUAAAUUUAAGUUGAAUAUUUUAAAUUGUAAAAUAAAAAUCAUCUUUUUAUUAAUGGUCAGAUCUUGAUCCAAAGGUGUCCAAUUCCUUGAAUGUGUGGCUUUGUCCAUGGUUGUGAAUCCAAUUUCGUGGAGCUAGCUCCGAUAUAGGACCGGUUGUUUCAAAAAAAAAAAACUAUUUUUUAUCUUACUUGUGUUUGUUUUAUAUUUUUUCAAAAAUUAUUUUAGUAAAACAAUCAUUUUUUUAUCAAAAUUCAUCUAUUUUCAAUAGUUUUUAUCAAAAUCCAUUUUUUUUAUCAUUCACCAUCUCUCAUCAUCUUAAAAAAAUGACUUGUAUACCCUUUAAUGACAUAUUUUGAUUCUAAUAUUAUGAGAAACGAGAACUAUUAAUAAUAACCGUAAGAUUUAAUUAUUAAAAGCAAGAACUAAUAUUAGAUAAUGACUUGUAUUAGAUAAUGACAAAAAAGACUUUAAGUGAGUCAUUAUCUCUCACCAUCCAAGAAAAGUAAAAGCAAGAGAAAAAGACAAAAAAUGAUUGGGCGAGAAAAAGUUGAUGACUCGGUGAAUUAAGAGAGAAGAGAGAAAUACUUGCUUAGACACAAACAUUUAAACACAAGAUUAAGUACACAUUCAUCAAUUAAAAAAAUUAAAAGAAAAAUAAAAUUAUCACAUCAAGUCAUAUCACUUUAACUAUUUUUUCUUUAUUUUCUUUUGUUUUUUGUGAGUGUGCCCAACAAAUAAUAUUUGGGUUUGUUCCCAAGCAAGUGUUUCUCGAGAGAAGAAGGGUAAAGUUAAGAGAGAAAGUGUGUGAAAAUUUAGGAGUUGAAAUAGCAAAAAGUUGAAAAAUAAGAAGAUAAAUUUGUGGUGAGUGGAUAGUAGAGCUAGUCAUGACUCAUGGGGGCUUAAUAACAAUAUUAAUAUAUGUAUUAAAGCAAAACUAUUAUUUUUGGUGGAGGCUUGAGCUCCCAAUGUGUUGUACCUGUAUCCGUCGUUGGCUGAGAGAGACUACAAUUAAUUUGCCAACCAAGAAAAAUGAAGGAAAAACUAGUUUCAAUUGAAAAUUUUAAUUGUGUGGGGGUGAGUGAUUUUGACCUUAUCAAGUUGUAAUUUGUAAAUAGUGUUUUUGCAAGUGGCGCUUGUCUCGUUGACAUUAGGCAGAUGCUCAUGUGAAGAGAUUCUACCGUACCCUUCUUGUUAUUGUUUAAUGGAAAUAUAAUUAGUUUAACUUUAUUCUGCUGAGCAUGGUUACUAGGCUACGUACUUGGUUGGAAAUUAAUCUUCAUCUAAGAGAGUCUUAUAAACUAUUAAUUUGUAUAUCAUUUUGUUAUCAUUGAAACAACCAUGAUAUGACACGGUGAAUAUAUAUAAAAUGAUCCAAGUAUUUUAUUUAAGGUAUUGUAUCAUCAAUUUAAUAUUGAGUUUUUUUUUUUUAAAAAAAAAAUAAUAUUAACAUAUAUGAGUUGCAUAAUUUUAUAUAUUAUAAGAGCAAAAUAUAUAUCUAUUGUAAAAAUAUUACAUAACAUUGUACGGAUUACUUACGAAUGAAACUCAAAGUAUUACUAGACACUCAUAUAUAUAGGAUAAGAUUGUUUCAUGUAAAUAUCACUAGAGGGCAUCCAAGCCCUGUAAAUAUUGAUUUUUUAUUUUUUUUUAUGAUUGAAGCCGUGAAAAAAACAAAAUGGAUUGUUUGAAUUUAAUGGGCAAAAAAUAUGACGAGAGAAGGUCCCCUUUUACAAUUAUUAUUAUUAUUAUCUUUCAAAAAUAUAAAAUUUACAACUAGGGACGGAACCAGAAAUAAUUAUUGAGGGUGGCGAAUUUUUUUUUCUUUGAUAAAACUCUUCUACAAUUUCUUCAAUAGUAAAUGUUUUUGCAAAUACAUCUAUACUAUCUCUUUCGUUAGUAAUUUUAUAGAUUAAUAACAUGACCAACAAAAAAUAUAUUUGAGAACUAAGUUGAUUAUUAUUUAAAAAAGAUUUGACGAUGACUAAAAUAAUUAAUAAAAGAGACAUUUUUUAACAUUUUUACAAUUUCAAUACAUUUAAAAAUCAAUGUCAUUGGUCCACAAAUCCUAGCUCAACUGACAGAAAUGCUUAAAUUACUAUUGUCGGACAUCGGGACAACCCCAGUUACUUCACUGUGUGUGUGUGAGUUUUCAAAGACUUUGUCAUUUCGUCUAUCAAAAAAAAAAUGUCAUUGUGAAUUACUAUAUUUUAAGACUAAAAUAGUGGUUUAUCUAAAUAUACAAAAUAUAAAUAGUAGUACAUUAUAGUAGUUAUUAAUUUAUUAUAUGAUAAAAAGGUAUAUGAUGCAAGUAUUUACAUAGAGCCAUAUGGUGGGUGGCGAACCAUAUACAUACAUAGGAGGUACGUGUAUUCCUACCAAUUAAAGAGUAGCGGUCGCCCCUUUUAGUCUAUACGUAGUUCCGUCCCUGUUUACAACUAAGAUAUUGAGCUCAAUUAGUUAUUAAAUUUCACCAAAGUAUAGAUUAUUUGAAAGAACUUAAAGAUUCAAUUUUUAAGUAGAACCACUAUUUAUUUUCAAAAAAAAAGAAGUAGAACCACUAUUUUUGUCGAAUUUUCAUACCUUGUAGUCGAAUAUAUAUGAAUUAUUAAGAUCUCUUUCCCUACAAAUCUGAGAAUUAAUAUAUAAAAAAUUGAGCUAAUCUCUUUAGGCUGGUAGCUGAGUUUAUUAUGAAAUCUCAAGUUGUUCAGAAAACAAAUAUUUUAAAGAAUAGAAAAUAUCAUUUUACUACAUAUGGUCAAUAGUCAAGGACCUUCUAACACACAAAGACACUCAAGUAUCGUUUGGCCCAAUUUAUUUAGGACUUAUUUUUUAUUUUAAGGAGAAGUCAUACCAAACACAAUUUAAGAGAAGUUCUAUUAAAAUAUAAGUACUUUAUUUCAGGCACAGAUUUAGUAUGGGGGCAAUGGCGUCAGCCGACCCAACUUGCCUAUUAUAUUUUUGGUUAAUACUAUUAUUAUUCAUGCAAUGUGACCUCACAUAUAUGAUAUUAUCGUUUUUAUAUAGUCAAUUUAGUACACUACAAUAAAUAUAAAUUAAUAAGACUAAUUUAUAAUGUUAAUGAGUAUCUUAAAAACAUCGACUAAGAAACCAAAAUAAGUAAUUUUGUAUAAAAAAUAUUAUAAAGGUUCCGUUGACACCAGGUGUCAAACUUUAAUUUGACAUCAAAUCUUGUCCAUUUAUUUUUAUUGAUCUAAAGGUUCAUAUUUAUUUACUUAAAAUUUCACAUGAUCAUUACUUUCCCAAAUCAUAGCAAAUUAGUUACUCUCUUUUAUCAUCUCCUUCUAAGGAGAAUAAUUGUUCUUUUUUUUUUUUUUUCNNNNNNNNNNNNNNNNNNNNNNNNNNNNNNNNNNNNNNNNNNNNNNNNNNNNNNNNNNGAGUAAUUGUUCUUAAUUGAAAAUGGUCGUGGUUUGGGAGUUAUAAGGAUAGCUUGGUGGCUAAGGUAAAUGAGAGGGAGUGAAGUGAUAAGAAUGUUCUUAAAUUAGUACAAUGUUUACAAACAAUGAAAUUGUACUUUUUCUUAAAUAAAAUAAUUAGUGAUAAGAUGUUGAUAUAUUUUUUUUAAGAUAAAGUCUUCUACUCCUAACACUACAAAAAAUAAGCAUUUUGCGACAAUUCUAUUGCGACCACUUAAAUAUGUGAAUUUCUUAAGACAUUUGCAACAAUUCAUACGACGGUUACUACAACCAUCGCAAUGUUUUGUUCUUAAAUUUCACUUUACCGCCUUGUGAAAUCAUAUUUAAUUGAUUUAAUUAAAAAUAAUAAUAAAACAGGAAAAAUGCCAAAAAUUCGAGUAGCAAGGAUCAAAUCGACUACCUCUUACAACAUGAGUGUCUCAUUAGUCACUCGUCUACUUAUUCUAUCUUGCUAUUUUACGCUCCAACUAAUAUAUAUUUAUAUAGUAUAACUAGUAAUUUUAUUAAGACACCUUGGGUAUAAUAGUAAUUUCCUUUUUAUUUGGGGUGGGUCAUGGUCCAGCCAUGGCACCCCUAGCUCCGCUACUGGAUACAAUGGCCAUUUUACACUUCAACUUUCUCUCAAUGGUUAAUGCAUCCCUUACUUAAGUAUACGUUAAUUUCUUACUUAGGAUUCGUUAUACCAAUUUCGAUCAUUACACUAAUUAUUAGUCUUUUUUCAAAGUGUGUUUAGUAGUAGCAUAUUUCUUUAUGAUCUUGAGCACUUGAACAUACUUUAGGUUCCCCAAUUGUUUUCUUAUAUAUUGUUUUCAUCAAAACUUCAGAGUAAUUGUUCAUAAACCACUUUUGGUUUAACACUAUAUUUAACUAUUAUAAAGAAAUUUCAAAAAAAAAAAACUAUUAUAAAGAAAUAAAGAAAUCAAUUUCCAUACAUAUGUAAUAUAAUUACAGUAAAAAAAUAAUAUAAUAAAUAAAUAAAAAAAGAUUAUCAGAAUAAAAAAAUUAAAAAUAAUUGUUACUUUAACAAAUUAAUUUAUUUACAAAAUUAUGAUUUUAUUGACAAGAAAAAAAUUAUGCUUUCCUUUUUAAAUUAUACUUUCUUUUAUCCUUUUUAUAAGAGAUCAACAAUUUACUUUUCUGAAUUCAUUAAAUAAAUAAUGAAUUUGGUCAAUAUUAUAGACCAAAUACAUUAUUUAUUAAAUAAAUCUUGGAACGUAAACUGUAUCUUUUAAAAAAGACCGCAUGGAGUAAUAUUUUUUAAUUAACAUAAAUAAUAUAUUUUUAAAGUGUUCGUAAUUUCAAUUUCUUGCGUAGUGUUCUUCUCGAUAGAGAAAUAGAUGACUCCGACGAUGAGAAUUGAAACAGUUACGAUGGAGAUACUAUUCCGGUGCGGUGGAUCACGAUGGAGAAAGUACCAAUAACUACGUUAGCCAUCCAAUGGCCAAGUCAGUAUGUGAUCAAGGCGGAGUGAAAGUGAAAAGUGAUUGAGUUGUGUUCCAUGGCGUCAAAACUUGCCUUUAUAUAAGGGGAUUUAAAAAAAGAGAGUCACGUGCGUGCUAAGCCACGUCCCAAUAUGAACGAGAAUAUACACACAAAAUUCAUAGAGGAUCUUAUAUUUAGCAAACUUUUUUUUUUUGGUAAAACGGUCUUAUAAACAGGAAUGGAGGGAGUAUUAAAAUUGGCAAAAGAACGUCACUUUUUUACAUUGAAUUAUAUACCUAAUAAACCAUGAAAAAUCCGAUUUGACGAAAAAGGGAAUCACGCGCGUGCUAAGCCACGUACCAAUAAGCGUGAGGAUAUACACACAAUAUUUGGCUAUAAAUUACCCCUCCACACCUUAUUUCAAUGUGUCAUUUCUUAAUCUAAAGUCACAAACACAUCCUCCACCCUUUAGUUCUUCCUUUUCUCUUUCUGUAAUUUAGUCAUGUCAAACAGUAGGAGAAGUUUAGGUCGCCAAAAGAUUGAGAUGAAAACGAUGAGUAAUGUGAGCAACCUGCAAGUGACAUUCUCGAAGCGCCGUAGCGGGCUCUUCGAGAAAGCUUGUAUGAUUUGUACUCUUUGUGAUGUAGAUGUUGCUCUCAUUGUAUUUUAACCUGUUGAGAAAGUGUUUUACUUUGACCACCCAAAUGUCGAUUUGGUCAUAGAUCUUUAUCUCUCGUGGGUCUUGCUUCAAAACAAUGGCACGAUGUCAUUCAUUGAGNNNNNNNNNNNNNNNNNNNNNNNNNNNNNNNNNNNNNNNACAAAAUACAACCAGAGCAACAACUGCACCAUAAAGAGUGAAAAGCUCAUUAGAAGUGCCCGAUACGACACUUCGAGAAAGUUACUUGCAGGUUGCUCUCAUUGUUCAUCUUUUUCAUCUCAAUCUUUUUGUGACCUAGAUUUUUCAUGCUGUUUGACAUGGCUGAAACACAAAAAGAGAGAAGGGAGAACUUAAGGGUGGAUGUGUUUGCGACUUUAGAGUAAGAAAUGACGCAUUGAAAUGAGAUGUGAGGAUAAUUUUAAUGUCAAAUUUUGUGUAUCUUCUCACUCAUAUUGGGAUGUGGCAUAACACGUAUGUGAAUCUCUUUUUCAUCAAAUUUGAUUUUUCAUGGUUUGUAUGGUAUGUAAUUCAAUGUAAAAAAGUGGCACUCUUUUCUUUUGCCAAUUUGUAUAUCCAUGUUAUUACUAAUAAAAAAAUCAUUUUUACUUUUAUAUGGUAAACUCAUUUUAUUAUUUUAUACGAUAAUUUCUCCUCAACUCAUUCAUUAUGGUCAAUUCCUAAAAUAAAGGUGAAAAACAUAAAAAUUAAAAGGCUUAAUUGCACAUUUGGUCCCUUAUCUUUAUUUUAGGUUUUAAGUUGGUCUCUUAUUUUUUAAAAGUUUCAAAUUGGUCCCUUAUCUUUUCUUUUGUUUAAUAAGUUAGUUCCUCCCAUCAUAUUUUUUACUAACGCCGUUAGAUGUGGACAUGUGGCAAACGGUGAUGCACACUUGGACAAACACGUGGAUUUUUUUGCCAUAUCAUUUGCCACAUCAUUUUCUUUUAAUUUUUAAAUUAAAAAUAAAUAAAAAACAAAACUAUUUUUUUUUAUUAAAACUAAAUCUUUUUUAUAAUAUUGCACCUUCGCAAUUUUCCCCUAUUUUCUCGCGGCUCUAGCUCGAGUAACAACCGUUUUCUCAACCUCAUUCUUUCUCUUCUCUUCUUAGUUUCCGAUUGAUUCGGCGACGUUGGAGCAAACCAGGGCCGGCCCAACAUAAUGUGGGGCAUGAAGCGGUCAUUAAUAUGAGGCCUAACAUAAAAAUGUAUAUUUUUUAAGCAAAAAAAUAUUGUACGAAAGAAAAACGUAAAAUUUAUAUUUAAAAAUAAAUAAAUAAACAAUUUUUGGUAAGAAAGUUAAAAAUAUAUCAAUUAUAUUUAUAAUAAAAAUAAAAUACAUAUUAGAAAAUACUUUUAUAAUAUGAACAAAAUAAAAAAUAUUAUUUUUAUAUUGCAUAAAAAAUAUUGUUUUUAUUGCAUAAUUAAUAUUUUUUUGAAAAAACCAAAAUGAGAUAUAUUAACAAAAAAGCCUACUCAGCACAAGACGUGCCAAGAUAGACCAGAGUUUACAAAAAAUCACAAAAAGAAAUACAAACAAUCAUACAAGGCCCAAAUAUAGUAAAAGACUAGACCACCAACUAUGGUAGUUUAAGAUUAAGGUAACACUUGUCGUCUUCAACCACUUAUAAGAAAAAAGCUUGAUCUUGUCCAACAACUGAUGAAGAGUACUGUCUGAGCCUCUGAACAACCUGUGAUUUCUUUCUGUCAACACAACCCAUAUGCUAGCAACUUAUUUGUUUAAUUCAUUUUAAUUUAUUUAUUUCAUUUUCAUAAUUUUUUGAUUAUUUAAGUUUAUCUAUAUUUCAUAUUCAAUAUUUAGGCUGUAUGUAAUUAAAUUUAAAUAAAAUAUUAAAAAAAUUGUUAAGAAUAAAUUGGUACAAAAAAUAAAAUAAAACUAAAAGUAGUAGUUAUAUUUUGUAUUUUCAUUUUAUAUUAUGGUAUAGACCAAUAACUUUUGUAAUUUGUUUGAAUUUGAAUAAAUAAUGUUCUCUUUGUUUUUUUAAGCAUAAAUAAAUAAUAUUCUCUAAACAAUUAGAACAUUACUUACCAAACAAAAAAUAUAUUAGAACAUUAUCUAUAACAAUAUAUAAAAAGGAUAGGUGAAUUUGGACUGGAUUUUUUAUAUUGUUCAAAUUACCCUUCAUUUUAAAUUCAAAUAAUUCAAUGGUUCUUUCUUAUUAAGGUCUUCCAACCAGGCGCGGAAAAAAACUGACUUUGGCAAGGAUCGAACACAGAUCCUGCCAAUAUCAAAAUGAUGCAUUCAAACAAAUGGACUACAUGGAUUGUAGUGAUUUGUAACGGAGGCUUACAUAUAUAAAUUUGUUUUUGGGCCUAAACCCUACAUUAAAAAAUAUAAAAAAAUUUGGGGCCUAAAGCUAGGGCUUGGGCCGCUUUACCUUUUGGCCGGUCCUGGAGCAAACAAAACCUUAACUGGAAAUUUUUUUUUUACCCCAACAAUCUUCAUUCUAUCCCAACAUAUUUUUCAAAAUACUCAUUAUACCCUUAUAAAAAAUUAGUAUAUUUUAAUAUUUUUUAAUUUUGUCGUAUUAUAUUGUUCCGGUAGACUGUUCAUCCUCCCAAAAAACUGUUCCGGUAAGUAUUUAUCUUUACCGGUAUGUUAAUUUUACUAGCACACUUUUUAACAAGUGUUCCGAAAUGCAAAAUUUACCGGAAUACUCUUUAAAAAGUGCACCGGUUCGUUUCGUUUAUCGUUAUACAUACCAGAACACUUUGUCAAAGUGUUCCGGUAGUUUAAAGUGUUCUGGUAUGCUAAUAAGUGUACCGGUAUGUAACAACGCAAAAAGUGUUCCGGUAUUUAACAAGUGUAUCGGUAUGUUAAUAUCAAUAAUUUUAAUUUUAAUUUGUUGUUAUAUUUUUAAACAGAUAUGACUUAUCUCGGCGUUACAAGUCAAAUAUUGGUAGAUACUACAUAUGUUUUUACAACUGAUCAAAAAUUUGCUACACUAGAUGUUGGAGAUGCCAACAAAGUCGGUAUUAUCAUUACUCGGUCGGAUAAAAAGAACGGAAUAAGAGGAAGAAAUUACAAGUUAAUUUUGGGUUGUGACAAAGGUGGAAAGUAUGACUCUUCAGAAAGUUCCAUGACAACUGCAUCUAAAAAGUGUUACUGUCCAUUCAAAAUUAGAGUCGCACCUUCAACAGAUGGUUCAGGAUGGAAAGUUCAGGUUAUUCAUGGAGUUCACAACCAGGGCUACCUGACCAAUAUCAUGGUCAUCCUCGCAAGGCACGUUUAACCGCUGAUGAAAACAAACUUGUUGAAGAUUUGAAAAAGCGUCAUGUAGCACUAAGGCACAUCGUUUUAGAUUUGAAAGAUCAAAAUUCAGAGUCUGUUGUUGAUGCCAAGCAUGUAUAUAGGAAAAGACACAUGAUGCAAAAAUAGGAAAGAUGCUCCAGAACAGGGUUGCAACACUUGCUGCAGAUGAUGCAAAAUAUGUCAGCUAGAAUAGAAGAAAAGAUGAUGGCUCCGAUGUUUUGAGUGAUAUUUUUUGGGCGCAUCCAAAUUCAAUCAAGUUGUUGAACUUGUUUCCCAUUGUUUUGGUUAUGGACUGCACAUACAAAACUAAUAAAUAUAGACAGCCACUGCUUGAAAUUACUAGCAUAACGUCAACUAACAUGACAUUUGCUGAGAAGACGAACAAUUAUCAUUGGGCGUUAGGGAAGCUGGAAUUGCUUACUAAGCAAGAUAUAUAUUUCCUAAACUAAUUUUGACCGAUAGGGAGUUUGCUUUGAUGAAUGCAAUUAAAGUUAUAUUUCCACAUACUGUUAAUAUGCUUUGUACGUGGCACAUAAUCAAAAAUGUGAAUACGAGAUGCACCCUGCAUAUACCUAAGGAUAUGCGACAAAAGGUGAAAAAUUUGUGGAAAAAUGUUGUUGAAAGUCCAUAUGAGGUGGAGUAUUAGCAGCGGUUGAAUGCGUUUCAGCAAGCAUAUGUUAAUUCAAGCAAGUUUGUUGACUAUGUCAAUAACACCUGGUUGACCCCUCACAAAGAACAAUUUGUUGCAGCAUGGACCAAUCAAGUGAUGCAUUUAGGAAACACAACGACUAAUAGGUAUGAUUUUGUCUUUUUCAAAAUUGUAAUUAUAUUUUUAUUUUAUUUUUGCGUUUAAUUUACUGUUGUUUGCAAUUUGAUAUUUUGAGCUGAGUCUGCAAUUAGAAACUGAAGCAAAUGUUGGAACACAGCAAAGGCGAUUUAUGCAAGUGUUUGGAAGCCAUGAAUAACAACAUAAUACUAGAAGUUGACAAAAUUAAAGUGUCAUUUCAAAAAUGUUUUUACUAUGCAAAGAAGACACACAACAAUCUAUUUUUUCAAAAUUUGAGAAACUUUGUCUCCAGGACCGCUAUGACAUUAAUUUCUGAUGAGAUGAAGAGAAUUGGCAUUGUUGGAACAAAUAAAAACUUUUGUGGUUGCAAACUUAGGUCAACAAGUGAGUUGCCUUGUACUUGUGAAUUGGGUGGGUAUACAACCAGCGGUGUAUCGAUACCAUUAGAUUCAGUUCACAGUUACUGGAAGAAAUUGACUAUGGAAGAACCACUAGAGAAUGACACGGAGCAUGAAUAUGAGUUGGACAUGAGUCAUGCAAUGGAGGCAAUAUGGACUCAAUAAGUGGCGUAGAGCGGUGGCGACAAAGGACAGAAGCAGCGGUGAAUAAGUGGACGGUGGAAAAUCAUGGGAUGAGUGGUGGUCGCUGGUGGAUUGGAUUUUUUUUUAUUGCAACAGUGAGGAAGAAAUAUGGUACAAACAAAUUUACGAUAAGCUCACUUUCCCACCAUGGGAGACCUACUAAUAGUGUCCCAUCCUAGAAGGCGCCGUCAAAGGGACAAUAUUAUGAUUUUUCUCCCUACACUAACGACAAUAACUCUCAUCAUUAAUUAGGAGUUGUCAACUUGUCAUGAGUGUUGUUUGGUAUGGAUUGAGUGCUACCAUUUUUUUAAAGGAGAAUGUUAACAUAUGCCCUAAAGAUACAUGUUAAGAAGAUAAAUAUGGUAAAUAUUAANNNNNNNNNNNNNNNNNNNNNNNNNNNNNNNNNNNNNNNNNNNNNNNNNNNNNNNNNNNNNNNNNNNNNNNNNNNNNNNNNNNNNNNNNNNNNNNNNNNNNNNNNNNNNNNNNNNNNNNNNNNNNNNNNNNNNNNNNNNNNNNNNNNNNNNNNNNNNNNNNNNNNNNNNNNNNNNNNNNNNNNNNNNNNNNNNNNNNNNNNNNNNNNNNNNNNNNNNNNNNNNNNNNNNNNNNNNNNNNNNNNNNNNNNNNNNNNNNNNNNNNNNNNNNNNNNNNNNNNNNNNNNNNNNNNNNNNNNNNNNNNNNNNNNNNNNNNNNNNNNNNNNNNNNNNNNNNNNNNNNNNNNNNNNNNNNNNNNNNNNNNNNNNNNNNNNNNNNNNNNNNNNNNNNNNNNNNNNNNNNNNNNNNNNNNNNNNNNNNNNNNNNNNNNNNNNNNNNNNNNNNNNNNNNNNNNNNNNNNNNNNNNNNNNNNNNNNNNNNNNNNNNNNNNNNNNNNNNNNNNNNNNNNNNNNNNNNNNNNNNNNNNNNNNNNCACCUCCCUUUUUGCUUCCUGAUCCGAUCCAAUUCUUUAUUAGCAUUUAUUUUGUAACUUAUAAAUUAUUUGGUAGUUUCCGGACAUUUCUGAAAUACAUAAAAAUAAUAGUAAUAAUACUACGAAAAAUGUAAAGAAAUAGUAGAAUACUAACCUAAUUUUAUUAAAUAAAUAGUACAUUUUUCGGUGUUAUCAAAAAUCAUGGAAUGAGUGGUGAAAGAAAUAUGGUACAAAAAAAUUUACGAUAAGCUCACUUUCCCACCAUGGGAGACCUACUAUAGUGUCCCAUCCUAGAAGGCCCCGUCAAAGGGACAAUAUUAUGAUUUUUCUCCCUACACUAAAGACAAUAUAUAUUUUGAUUAUUGUCUCAUCAUUAAUUAGGAGUUGUCAUGAGUGUUGUUUGGUACGGAUUGAGUGCUACCAUUAUUUUUUUAAAGGAGAAUGUUAACAUAUGCUCUAAAGAUACAUGUUAAGAAGAUAAAUAUGAUAAAUAUUAAAUGUUAACUUGUGAAUUCAAGAAAUACUUGACAUGGUCACCUUAUACAUGAAUUUCUUAAUACAAUUUGCAUGAAGUUUUAACUAUUAAACACAAUUUCAAUUAUGGGAGAAACUAACCCAAUGAUGUUACCAGUUGCAAUUGCAUAUACUACAUUGAAGGUAUAAUUCGCUAAUAAUGAUAUCCAACGACUCUUUUUAUUCUUAACAGGAUAACCAACAACAGUACCGGUUUGUGCAUCAUUUUCCUCCGUUAUCAUCUUCAAAAUAAUCGGAUCAAAUACACUUGAAAGAAUGCUUCGAAAAUGCUCAAAAUCAUGUUUUUCGGCAGUAUCAUUAACAUCAAGCCACAAUAAAACCAAAUCAAUUUUUUUAUUGAUCUCUUUCUUGUCUUUAGAAGAAAGAUUUGAUCCAAUCUCCUUAUCAUUUAUAACUUUCCUCAUAUUGGAUGCAUAAGUCUCCAAUGCAUUUCUUGCGUCUACCUUCUUCUGAUACCUCUUUUCGUCAUCUUUGCACUUCUCAGCUUCUUUGAUCAUCCUCUCAAUUUCCUCCUUUGAAAGUCUUCCAUUGUCACUUAUUAUUUUAACCUUCAUGUUAACCCCGGACAAUUUUUCCAAGGCAGAGACGUGUAAGAUGCCAUCAUCAUCAAUUUGGAAGCUGACCUUGAUUUGAGGAAGACCUACCGGAGCUGGAGGAAUUUCCAACACAAAUUUUCCUAGCAAGUUGUUGUCUCUAGUUGUUUGUCUCACACCCUCAUAAACAUGAAUUAGAAUAUUGGUUUGGUUGUUAAAAUGAGUCGUGAAGACGUGCUCCAUGUUCGUAGGAAUUUUGGUAUUCCUAGGAAUUAUUAUUUCCAUGAUUCCCCCGUGAGUAUCCAAUCCAAGAGACAAAGGAAUAACUUCCCUGAAUAGCAAAUCUUGCACCUUUUCACUAAACUCACCACUCAAUAUCGAAGCUUGGACCACAGCACCAUGUGCAACUGCCUCAUCUGCAUUUAUGCUUUUGCAUAAAUUUUUCCCUUCAAAGAAGUCACUCAAUAGUUGUUGCACUUUUACAAUCCUAGUAGAGCCACCAACAAGGACAACAUCAUGAAUGCUACUCUUCUCCAUCCUACUCUCUGCGAAACAUUUUUCUACAAUCUCCAUGCACUUGUCGAAAUGACAUUCGUUGAGUUCCUCAAACUUUGCGCGACUAAUUGUUGAGUGGAAGUUUAUAUCUUUAUGUAAAUAUUCUAUGUCAAUGGUGGUGUUGGUAUUGGAAGAAAGUAUCCUCUUUGCUUUCUCACAAGCAGACUUUAACUUCCUCACGGCUCGUGGGUCUCCACUAAUGUCAAUUUUAUGCUUCCUCAAGAAUUCCUUCACAAAAUGUUUCACCAUUGUAUUAUCAAAGUCUUGUCCCCCGAGGUGAGUAUCUCCACCAAUGGCCUUAACUUGGAUAUCAUCCGUGUCAAAUGUGAGAAUAGACACAUCCAAUGUACCACCACCUAAAUCAAAAACGAAAACAUUUCUAUAUUGAUGAUUAAAUUUAAACGGUUUCAUGUUAAGGCCAUAUGCAAUUGCUGCUGCAGUAGGCUCAUUGAUUAUUUGCUUAACAUUCAUGCCUGCAAUUUCACCUGCAUCUCUAGUAGCUUGACGUUGUGAGUUAUCAAAAUAAGCAGGAACUGUUAUAACAACAUCCUUCACUUUUGAUCCAAGGUAAGCUUCUGCAAUCUCACGCAUUUUUCUCAAUACCAUGGAUGAGAUUUCCUCAGCAGCAAAUUGUUUUUCUUCUCCGUUGUAAUUGACAACAAUCAUGGGUUUGUCAUCGAGACGGCCAAUUACUUUAAAUGGCCACAAUUUCAUAUCAUUUUGAACUAUAGGGUCACUAAACCUCCUACCAAUUAGCCUCUUAGCAUCUACAAAACAAACAGGAGUAGUGUGCACUGUAUGAAACAUCCGAUCGAUGAUCAUCAUAUAUACUCCCUCCGGUCCUUUUUAUAAGGAACACUUAGGACAAAAAAAUUGGUCAUUUUUAUAAGAAACUUUGACCAAUUUUCAAAUGUUUUAAAUGUUUAAUUUCACUUAUGCCCUUAUUUAUUAUGAGAGAGAAUUUAAAAAUAAGUAAGUUAGUUGAAUAAAGAGUAAUUAAAUAAGGGUAUACAUGGAAUAAAUUUAAAUUUAUAAGAGUAUUAAAUGAAAAUAACUAUGUUAAAUGUGCUUCAUUGGUCUGUGUGAUUUUUUUAAAGUGUUCUUUAUAAAAAGGACCGGAGGGAGUAUAUAUAAAUAAGCGAUAACUCUAAUUAAUUAUAUUGGGAUUUUGAUUAUUAAUCAAUUAUUUGCACAAUAGAUCCUUUGUAACAAAUAACGUAAUCAAUAUUAAUUACACACAUAUGAUUUAACACAAGUUCAAUUUAAUUUGGUUUCUCUUUUUCCGCAUUCUCUCUAUUUAUGACUUUUGAUUCGUUAACAUCAUAUGUCAAACUUUUUGGUCACUAUUUGUAGGAGACAAAUUAAAUCAAUCCAACCGUUAAAUUUAAAUUUUCCGUUAGGUAGAACAAGUGACUCAUAAAAAAUUGGGUAAAUGAUUGUUUAUCCCUCGUAAAGUUAGCAAAAUUUGAUUUACCCUCUGUGCAAUUUUUUUUCUGGUUAUCCCUGCAAUAUGAAGAUUUUAUAAUUUUGCCCCUGCCCCCUCAUUAAAUAGAAAAAAAAUUGUGCGGGGUAAAUCAAAUUUGGCUAACUUUUCGGAGUAAACAACCAUACCCUAAAAAAUUUAUAGAAUUUAAAAGCUAUUUAAAUGAAAAAUGCUAAGAAAUAUAGUAAUAUUUACCGAAGACAGUGUUGGUUGGGUUGUAAGCAGCCUUGUUGAAAGCAGGAUCACCAAUCAUCCUUUGAGAGUCGGUGAAGGCAACAUAAGAAGGUGUUAUUCUGUUCCCUUGCUCGUUAACUAUGAUCUCUAACUGAUCAUUCCUCCACACAGCAACACAAGAAUAUGUUGUUCCUAGGUCGAUUCCUAUUGCAACUUUCUUACUUGUUCCUGCCAUUUUAAAUGUCUUGUAAUUUUGAGAGAAGGAAAAGAAAUACUAAAGAUGAGAAUAAACAGUUAUUAUUUAGGUAAGUAUAUAUAGGCUUGUUGUUAUAUGCACUUCCACUCAAUUUAUUAAGUUCGUGAUUGGCUGCUUGACUUGUACAAUUAUCUUUCUUUUUUGACAAUCGUACAAAUAUUAUCAUUUUCAAUAUUGGAACAAUUGAUCAACUUGUUAA